rnacentral:ncRNA from 1 species
CGCCGAUUGACUAAGGGUUCCUGGGUCAAGCUGAUCUGCCCACGGGUAAGUCGGGACCUAAGGCGAGGCCGACAGGCGUAGUCGAUGGAUAACCGGUUGAUAUUCCGGUACCCGCUGUGAAGCGUCAAACAUCGAAUCCAGUGAUGCUAAGCCCGUGAAGCCGUUCCGGACCCUUCGGGGAAAGGAAAGUGGUGGAGCCGGUGACCCGAUCUGGUAGUAGGUGAGUGAUGGGGUGACGCAGGAAGGUAGUCCAGCCCGGGCGGUGGUUGUCCCGGGGUAAGGGUGUAGGCCGUGCGGUAGGUAAAUCCGUCGCACACAAGGCUGAGACCU